GCCCUCGUCGUCUAACGGAUAAGGCUCCGGUUUCCUAAACCGAAAAUAGAGGUUCGAUUCCUCUCGAGGGCACCA
rnacentral:tRNA from 1 species